AUCAGAGCCCAGCUGGCUGACAGCUUGAUUUCAGCUUUGUGAAACUCAGAGCAGAGAAACCAGCUGAGCCCACCUGGACUUCCUACCCACAGAACUGUGGAGGAUGUAGAGAUCAGCCUAGAUGGUCUCUGCAUCCCUCACAGGAUUAAUAGUCUCUGUUUCUAACACACUAUGGACCUGCAUCUGAAGCACUGUCAAGCAGGACCAGGCAACCUGAACAGAUGCAAAGAGGAAGCUAAAAGCCAUAUCAAGAGGACGCUGAAGCAGCCUGCGGAGAGGCUCGAAUGAACAGGAACUGAGGCCUCCCACUACCAACCAGCACCAACUUGCCAGCCAGAGUAAGAAGGAGUCCACAAGCCGAGGCUGGACCAACUGCUGAAAGUCAGAGUCCUGGAGGCCUUCGGGGCAGACCCCAGCCAAUCUACGCAGAGCAGCCUGGGGAGAAGACAGAAGAGGUGACACAUGUCAGACUGGGCCAUGUCAGGCAUCUAAGUUUGCAACCUGUGAUUUACACCAUGGACUCUCAAAGCCCAGUCUGUACAACAAGAUUUGCCCUGUCCAGAUCUAAGAGGCCUGUCUUCCAGUAGACCCCAGUUGCAUUGACACCAUUGUUGAUUCCUCAAAUCCUGCCCUGCUUUGGAAAAUAGCCCCUUCAUUAAACUCUCUUCAGUCACAGGAAGCCGUCACCAUCUCUGCUCCCAGCUGUAAGGCAGCCACCUUAUCCUUUGGCUGAAACAGCUUAGAUCAGCUUCCAGGCCAAUGAAACCUGGCCCACCCCACCUGGACCUUGGCGACAUGUUCGGCACAAGAUGGAACAAGGGAGCAAGUGGGAGAAGAGAUGCACUCAUUGAGGGCUCAAGACAUUCAGGUUGCCCUGACCUGCUCUCCCAUUCUCACCCCUUCCUCAGCUUUCUACUGUGGCCAAAUGCAAUUAAGAUAGGAACAAUUUAAAGUUGGAAUGUAUCCCUUGGUAGGAAUAGAUUUUUUUUUUAUUUGAGGAUGAUAAUGAAAUAUUUGCCUUCUCCUCACGACCCUAUUAAAAUAGCAACCACCCCCACCCCCACCCUGAGACUACCUUACUCUUCUUCCCUGCUUCAUUUUCCCCAGGGCACUGUCACGCUAUCAUUGCUGGACAUUUGCUAUCUUCUUAUACAUUAUAUGUCUUCCACUAGAAUUUAGGCCUCACAAAAGCAAACAAAUAUUCACAUAUAUAGACCCAGUUGCACACAUACAAGCACACACAUAUAUGCUCAUGCAAGCGUGGAGACAUGUGUACCAAUUUUUUUUUUUUUUUUUUUUUUGGAGACAGUCUCGCUCUGUUACCCAGGCUGGAGUGCAAUGGCGUGAUCUCAGCUCACUGCAACCUCCGCCUCCCAGGUUCAAGUGAUUCUCCUGCCUCAGCCUCCUGGGUAGUUGAGAUUACAGGCGCCCACCACCACACCCAGCUAAUUUCUGUAUUUUUAGUAGAGACGGGGUUUCGCCAUGUUGGUCAGGCUGGUCUCCAACUCCUUACCUCAGUUGAUCCUCCCACCUCUGCUUCCCAAAGUGCUGGGAUUCAGGCGUGAUCCCUGCACCCGGCCACAUGUACCUAUUUACAUACCUGCACAGGCAGUCACACAAGCACAAAGACGCAGUCCCCUACAUCCAGAUAAUCCACAUAACAUGUACAAUGCUGCAAAGACAUACCAUUCUCCUGAAUGAUGUCAGAGGCACACUGUUCUAGGACAGACAUGUUUGCCAAGAUGGUCACAAUCUGGAAAAGAGAAUUUAGAAACUGAGAAAAUGAGCACACCUGAUCCUAAUGGUCCUCCCUACAGACAGGUCAGCCAGGGGCUACAAAGCUUCCUUUUAUCCCGUGACUCCUUCCUGUCCACUGGGCCUAUCCUUCCACGGCAUUUUCUUCCAUCUUUAUGGGCUCCUGCCACCCAGAUGUAUUUCCCUGGUGACUAAUGCCCAUUUACCAGCCUAUGGCUAUAGGACAGCCCCCGAGGACCCCAGGACACCUUGGAAAGACUAGCAUAACCCUGGGUGAAGUUGGGGCCCGGUUGUCUUUCUGCUCUGGUCCCCAGUCCUGAAAUGCAGACAGAACCAGCAGGUCCCUGGCCCCUCAAACUCGUCUGUGCUGGCCUGUCCUCCUGACAGCUAGCUCUUACUCUGGAUUGACUUCUUCCAUCCCAGCAUCUUUCCUGGAUACUAACCCUCAUCUACUUUCAACCUGUGAUGAAUGAAGGCUAAGGUCACGUUAGAGGGCAUGAGUAGGAAGAGGCAGUGUUAUCAAGCAUUGGGUAUUAUAUGGAAUCUGAUAAGAAAGUGCAUACUCAGCUGCACGUUACGAGUCUGUCGUAAGCCUCGCUCAUCAGUCAUCACUGAAAAUCUCUGCCUGUAGGCAAUGGGGUAUUGAUACCAGGUGGACAGUGAGUCUCAGUUACAGCUUUGUGGGUUGUAACCAGCCUCCCCUGGUACAGUCAAGGGAGAAAAGAACUCACAGCACAAACUAGAUUAAGGAAUGGCCUGACAGAGAACUCAUUCCAGGGAUCCCAAACUGCAAAAGGGUGCCAAAAUGCUACUGGAAUAGAUUGGAAACAUGGCACCUGUUAACUCAGAUACCACCCACAACACUGCUCCUGACAUAAAUAGCAAGAUGAAAAUUCACCCACUUUCACAGAAAUGGACAGCGCUCUCAAGUGGUAAUUAAAAUAAAUAAUAAAAUAAAAUUUAAAAACA